GAUCAUGGCUCAGAUUGAACGCUGGCGGAAUGCUUUACACAUGCAAGUCGAACGGCAGCACGGGGCAACCUGGUGGCGAGUGGCGAACGGGUGAGUAAUACAUCGGAACGUGCCCAAUCGUGGGGAUAACGUAGCGAAAGUUACGCUAAUACCGCAUACGAUCUACGGAUGAAAGCGGGGGAUCGCAAGACCUCGCGCGAAUGGAGCGGCCGAUGUCAGAUUAGGUAGUUGGUGGGGUAAAGGCUCACCAAGCCAACGAUCUGUAGCUGGUCUGAGAGGACGACCAGCCACACUGGAACUGAGACACGGUCCAGACUCCUACGGGAGGCAGCAGUGGGGAAUUUUGGACAAUGGGCGCAAGCCUGAUCCAGCCAUUCCGCGUGCAGGAUGAAGGCCUUCGGGUUGUAAACUGCUUUGUACGGAACGAAAAGGUCCUGGUUAAUACCUGGGGCUCAUGACGGUACCGUAAGAAUAAGCACCGGCUAACUACGUG
rnacentral:rRNA from 1 species